GCUUGAAUCAUUUGGUCAUCAGGUAGUUUGUGUCCAUACCACUGAAACAAUGCAUCUAGCUCUGCCCAUAUAUCUAAGUGUCCUUUUGAUUGGCUGUGUCAUUGCUGGAGGUUCCUGGUGUGCCAAAAUGGCAAGAGCCCGUGCAGCUGCCAUGGGUUUGGACCUCCCUAGGACCCAGUUUGUCCCUUACCAUCUUCGACCAACACGUCAUGGGAGUUUUGAUCCCAUAAGAAACCACUGAAAAUAAUGAUGGCCCCAAAGAGGCUGAGUUUCAGCACAAUGGUAAAAUCCAAGGGGAAGGAUAUCCAAGUGACUGGGCCUGUGGACAAGUCCUCCCCAGAGGCUUUCAACCCAAACCUUCUACACUAAACCACCACGGUUCUGAUCCCAGUUUGGCUGACUCCUCUGUCAGCCAUUCUUCCCACACUCCCAGGGGAGAGUUUAUUAGCAGCCACAAGCCCAACUUUGAUCAGGUGAAGAAUUCUGCGCCUCGACCAAAUGUAAUGGUAGCCCCUGGUCAGUUUGAGUACUCAGAGAAAGUGGACAUUCGAGGUUACUAUAAGCCUAUUGUAGUUCAGCCUGUCCCCAGCAGACAUGGAAUAGCCCAGAGUGUGGUUUCACGACCCCAGGAUAAUGGUGCUGUACCCUAUGGAAAAAGUAUCCUAUGGCCCUGGCCUCAGUAGAGGCUUUUCCUCUAGAUCCUCUCCACCAUCCCAGAGUGGACUGAUCAGCCACUAAACUAAGACAAUUAUGUUCCCAGGCCCUGGUGCUGUCCAUUCCUUGAUCAAAGAGCAGAAUAUGA